rnacentral:misc_RNA from 1 species
AACGCACAUUGCGCUCUCUGGUAUUCCGGAGAGCAUGCCUGUUUGAGUAUCAGUUAACUAUUCUCAAGCUAAAUACUUGUAUUUAGCAUGGAAUUGAGUGUUCCCGGUAAGAGUGCCUCGGCACUGCAACUGGGAGACUUGAAACUGAUAUCGCGGGAGCAGUGGUCAUUAAGGAUCAGCUCUUUGUAGGUGUACUAGUUGGAGGCGUCGCAAGACGUUUUCAUUCUUAGCACCAAUACGCAAAGUUCGGAUCUGAUCGCAUGCGCCAGGCGAACACAGGAACUUGCAGGUCUUCCUCUCGGAAGACUUCAACUUCUUGAUCUCAAAUCAGGUAGGAUUACCCGCUGAACUUAA